GCGGCCGUCUCACACAAGCACACCUGUCCUCCCUUCGCUCGGCUUCACCUGGAGUCGCGACUCGUCUCACCCGACGUCUCAUCGGCGCUUCUCAGUUUGCUUUUUAGUUUUUUUUUUUCUAUUUUGACCAACUGUGUUCUCGGUUCGUGGUUCCGAGACUCCAUCGCGACAACACGCAGCGCAGAUGUGAGAUGGGCUGUGGAAAUUCCUUGCCGACCAAACCCAGUCAAGGCCAAGUGGAAGAGACGAGAGAAGCUGCGAACAGGCCAGAGGAGCCCGCGGCGGAGGAGGAAGAUGAGAGGAAGAUCAACUACGGCGGGGUCUAUGUCGGGAUUCCUACAGACCCUAACGCGAUGAUGCCUGUUGAGAUCGGCUCGGUAGCCCGAGAAUCAAAGUGACCUCCUGAUGUUCCCACAUUGGCCAAGGUCGGCGCUAAAACCACAAGAAUACACAGAGAAAAUAAGAGAUGAUCCACCUUAUUCAGACGGCUCACAUCCCAUUCAUAUCCCGAACAGGAUGUCAAACUUUCUCCCCGUUGUGUUGUGACAUGCCUACUGCAGUGCUGAUUUGAUAAAUACAUGGAUUAUUUGUAACUUAAAACUUUUUUGUGCAAAUGUCAUGCCAAACACGACCAAACAUAAUAAUAUAAUCACACUGCAGGGAAACGCCCAAAGGGAUUUUGGUUCCUACUUUUAUUUCUGAGGAAGUAGAAUAAGUUGAUUCUGGUUAAUCGUGUUUGUUGUUUGGGAUAAAAGAGACUUCCUUCUCUAAAAUGUAAACUGAAACUUGUUCUAGAAAGUGUAUAUUCUUUUCAUUCUAGAACUAUCUGGCUGCAAUGCAAUGAGAUGAAACCUGUGUCUUAAAGAGGACAUAUUAUACCACCAGGUGUGAGUGUGAGUAGCCCUGACGAGCUCUUUCGAAAAUCUGCCCCUUAUCACAUCACAAGUGGGCGUGUCCACCUAGAUGUGUGCUGGAUAGAUCGCCUACUCAGUGGACUGAAGUAAACGUUGCUCAUCUACCCAGCACAGAUCUAGAGGUACACGGCCACCAGUGAUGUCAUAUGGGGCAUAUUUUUCCAAACGGUUUGUAAGUGCUAAUCACACUCACACCUGGUGGUAUAAUAUGUCCCCUUCAAUACAAAGAGAAGCUAUGUUAUUUAACGUUUAAAAAUGAUGUAACUCCUUAAUCAUGUGUACAUUAAAGCGACACAUUGGAAACCAAGACUUUGUGAUAUGAAAAGUAUGUGAUAAAGAGCAUUGUUAUUGUCAUGUCGAUCUCAGCUGUCAUUUGACUCGCUUUGUAAGAGUUUCAGGUGACGGUGCCAUUCAAUGAUGGAGCUCACAGCCUGACGGAGCAAUAGGACAUGAUGGUGGUGUGGUUGUUGGUGUGUUCGUCAACAUCAAACCGAAAGGCACUGGGUUAGAUGCCC